GACCGUGAGGGCGGUGUGUGUGUGUGUGUGUGUGUGUGUGUGUGUGUGUGCGCGCGCGCGCACAUAUAUGUGCGCACACACAUGUACACACGUGAGG
rnacentral:miRNA from 1 species